rnacentral:rRNA from 1 species
AGUCGAACGGUCUCUUCGGAGAUAGUGGCGGACGGGUGAGUAACGCGUGAGAACAUGCCUAUCGAUUGGGGACAACAGUUGGAAACGACUGCUAAUACCGAAUGUGCCUUAGGGUGAAAGAUUUAUCGUCGAUAGAUUGGCUCGCGUCAGAUUAGCUAGUUGGUGAGGUAAAGGCUCACCAAGGCGACGAUCUGUAACUGGUCUGAGAGGAUGACCAGUCACACUGGAACUGAGACACGGUCCAGACUCCUACGGGAGGCAGCAGUGGGGAAUUUUCCGCAAUGGGCGAAAGCCUGACGGAGCAAUACCGCGUGUGGGAGGACGCUUUUUGGAGUGUAAACCACUUUUAUUAGGGAAGAAGAACUGACGGUACCUAAUGAAUCAGCAUCGGCUAACUCCGUGCCAGCAGCCGCGGUAAUACGGGGGAUGCAAGCGUUAUCCGGAAUUAUUGGGCGUAAAGCGUCCGUAGGUGGCUUAUCAAGUCUGUUGUCAAAGCGUGCGGCUCAACCGCAUACGGGCGAUGGAAACUGAUGAGCUAGAGUGCGAUAGGGGUCAGGGGAAUUCCCGGUGUAGCGGUGAAAUGCGUAGAUAUCGGGAAGAACACCAGUGGCGAAAGCGCCUGACUGGGUCUGCACUGACACUGAGGGACGAAAGCUAGGGGAGCGAAAGGGAUUAGAUACCCCUGUAGUCCUAGCUGUAAACGAUGACAACUAGGUGUGGUUCGUAUCGACCCGAGCCGUGCCGUAGCCAACGCGUUAAGUUGUCCGCCUGGGGAGUACGCACGCAAGUGUGAAACUCAAAGGAAUUGACGGGGGCCCGCACAAGCGGUGGAGUAUGUGGUUUAAUUCGAUGCAACGCGAAGAACCUUACCAAGGCUUGACAUCCUCGGAACCCUGAUGAAAGUUAGGGGUGCCUUCGGGAGCCGAGAGACAGGUGGUGCAUGGCUGUCGUCAGCUCGUGUCGUGAGAUGUUGGGUUAAGUCCCGCAACGAGCGCAACCCACGUUUUUAGUUGCCAGCAUUCAGUUGGGCACUCUAGAGAGACUGCCGGUGACAAACCGGAGGAAGGUGUGGAUGACGUCAAGUCAGCAUGCCCCAUACGCCUUGGGCUACACACGUACUACAAUGCUUCGGACAAAGGGCAGCCAGACCGCGAGGUUGAGCCAAUCCCAUAAACCGAGGCACAGUUCAGAUUGCAGGCUGCAACUCGCCUGCAUGAAGGCGGAAUCGCUAGUAAUCGCAGGUCAGCAUACUGCGGUGAAUACGUUCCCGGGCCUUGUACACACCGCCCGUCACACCAUGGGAGUUGGUCAUGCCCGAAGUCGUUACUCCAACCGUUCGCGGAGGAGGACGCCGAAGGUGGGGCUGAUGACUGGGGUGAA